GGGACCCCAGAAAUCAUUUCAACCACCUUGUUUUUGACCAGGAACCCCCUCUACAAUAUCCUUGACAAAUGGUCAUUCCUUUUCAUUCUAAAGAUGAUACAAUGGGGAUGAAUUCUCUUCUGGGCAUCCCUGAAGUGAAUCACAAUGAAGAACCUGAAGUCCAAAUCUGACCUGGCCAGGGUCACAGCUGGAAUUCUGACUCCAGACUAAAUAAUCUUUUGACUAUAUCACUGUUUCCCAAGACUGAAAGUCCAACCUGUAAUGGGAAAGAAGAUUGUAGACCACCUUCUUAUCUCUAUUAAAAGGAGGACCAAUCCUAGAAAUUAUCUGAAAUGGAAAUGUCCUAAAGUAUCCAUGUGGCUCUAGGAUGAAUUUGGUCUCUUUUGAGCACUGUCUGACACUUAUAGAAAACCAAGUUGGAUUUCAAUAAAAGGGAUCAGCUCUCUACAGGGUUAAUCAACUGCUGGGUAAAACAAAUUUGCUUGUGAGGCUUUUAAUGAUGCAACAUACCUGACUUGAACUACUCUAACAAUUCUACAAGUGGAUUCACACACUGCAGAAAAGGAGCUCAUCUUCUCUAUUGUUUUUAUUUGGAAGAACUGCUUUAUUUGCGUUAUAUGUUGAAUUCACUCAAUAUGAGACCAACAUGAGAUUCUGCAGAACCUGAGACAUACUGACUUUCCAAGGUCUUCUCAGAAUCUGGACAACUCCUGGAUCUUCUGAGGUUAACACUGGGUCCUUAGUGAACCAUCAAAAAUGACCUGGGCUUUUGCGGGAAAGGUUUCUGCCAAUAGAAAUUUAGUUUCUCCAGGGAAGAGACUAUUUUUCUUUCUUUCUUUUUUUUUUCUUUUUUGUCCUUUUUUACUCUCAGCACCUUUCCCAGAACCAGGCUUCUAGUAGUCACUCAAUAAAUGUUUGCUGAAUUAGAAUUUUUGAAUUUGAAUUGGACUACCUCCUUCUCAGUUUUCUUUGAAGGCUUUAAUUUUGCUAUUGGGUGUCCAUACCCUAAAAAUCAAUUUCAAUGAUUGUUUGGAAUGUAUUUACAUCUCAGAACAUAUCAUCUUGCCUUUAAGUAAACAGCAGAUUCCUGUGUGUGAAAUAUUUCUAGAGAAAAUCUUGGUACAUUUAGCAGUACAGUAACCCGCUACUGAAGCAAUGGUGAACCUGGUUUAACAACACACAUCUAGAAUAUUAUGAAACACCAAAGACAGAGAUCUGGUGAAUGUUAAUGGACAAAAGUUGUCUCCCCAGAGAGAAUGUAAGUAUUUUGAGUGCAGGAAAUGUUUUUAUAAAGCUAUUUUUCUCCUCAUGCUAACACUGUUUCUAAUACAUAAUAGGUACUUAAUAAAUAUUUGUUGAUAUUUUGAUUGAA